UGGGGAAUAUUGCACAAUGGGCGCAAGCCUGAUGCAGCCAUGCCGCGUGUAUGAAGAAGGCCUUCGGGUUGUAAAGUACUUUCAGCGGGGAGGAAGGGAGUAAAGUUAAUACCUUUGCUCAUUGACGUUACCCGCAGAAGAAGCACCGGCUAACUCCGUGCCAGCAGCCGCGGUAAUACGGAGGGUGCAAGCGUUAAUCGGAAUUACUGGGCGUAAAGCGCACGCAGGCGGUUUGUUAAGUCAGAUGUGAAAUCCCCGGGCUCAACCUGGGAACUGCAUCUGAUACUGGCAAGCUUGAGUCUCGUAGAGGGGGGUAGAAUUCCAGGUGUAGCGGUGAAAUGCGUAGAGAUCUGGAGGAAUACCGGUGGCGAAGGCGGCCCCCUGGACGAAGACUGACGCUCAGGUGCGAAUGCGUGGGGAGCAAACAGG
rnacentral:rRNA from 1 species